AGGGCCGUACGUCUCCUUCCUCUAAAGCAGAAGUGCAAAGUGCUGGUUAGAGGGAGUCCGAAGCCUUUGGGCCCCAACCUGCGACCCGAGGAGUCCGGCUGUCGCCACCUUUCCCAAUUUGACAGAGGGGACCCGUGAGUGGAACUGAGCUCCUGGAAAACAGGGCAGAUAGAUGCAGACGUCAGCCCGUCUUUUACAAUCUUUCAAAUGACUCUGGAUCUUUUCUCCACUAAGAUUUAUCUAGGCGACCCGAGAAGAUGCCGCUCGGAAGAUAGCUGGGGUUCCUGUUCGACGUCUUCAGGAGCUGGCUGAGCCGCGCAGUCUUCCUCUGCAGUCUCUGGCCGCCUCCAUUGCGAUUCCCAACCCACCCGAGGAGAGGACGGACCCAGUAGCUGAGACGAAAU
rnacentral:lncRNA from 1 species